GUUGAACGCUGGCGGAAUGCUUUACACAUGCAAGUCGAACGGCAGCACGGGGGCAACCCUGGUGGCGAGUGGCGAACGGGUGAGUAAUACAUCGGAACGUGCCCAGUCGUGGGGGAUAACUACGCGAAAGCGUAGCUAAUACCGCAUACGAACUCUGGUUGAAAGCGGGGGAUCGCAAGACCUCGCGCGAUUGGAGCGGCCGAUGGCAGAUUAGGUAGUUGGUGGGGUAAAGGCUCACCAAGCCGACGAUCUGUAGCUGGUCUGAGAGGACGACCAGCCACACUGGGACUGAGACACGGCCCAGACUCCUACGGGAGGCAGCAGUGGGGAAUAUUGGACAAUGGGCGCAAGCCUGAUCCAGCCAUUCCGCGUGCAGGAUGAAGGCCCUCGGGUUGUAAACUGCUUUUGUACGGAACGAAACGCGCCGGGUUAAUACCCUGGCGUAAUGACGGUACCGUAAGAAUAAGCACCGGCUAACUACGUGCCAGCCGCCGCGGUAAAAC
rnacentral:rRNA from 1 species